CCGUCCGCAAGGGCGGAGGAAAGUCCGGACACGGUUGGACACGGUGGUGGCUAACGGCCACCCAUGCGCGCGGGCGCGCAUGCGGGACAGUGCAACAGAGAACAGACCGCCGAACGGCGCCUCCGGGCGUGCGUGGCAAGGGUGAAACGGUGCGGUAAGAGCGCACCGCCUGGACGGCGACGCCCAGGGCACGGCAAACCCCACCGCGUGCAAGCGCAAGCAGCCCCGGCCUGCGGGCAACCGCAGGC
rnacentral:RNase_P_RNA from 1 species